AUUGAACGCUGGCGGAAUGCUUUACACAUGCAAGUCGAACGGUAGAGGGGGCAACCCCUCGAGAGUGGCGAACGGGUGAGUAAUAUAUCGGAACGUGCCCAGUCGUGGGGGAUAACGUAGCGAAAGUUACGCUAAUACCGCAUACGAUCCAAGGAUGAAAGCGGGGGAUCGCAAGACCUCGCGCGAUUGGAGCGGCCGAUAUCAGAUUAGGUAGUUGGUGAGGUAAAGGCUCACCAAGCCAACGAUCUGUAGCUGGUCUGAGAGGACGACCAGCCACACUGGAACUGAGACACGGUCCAGACUCCUACGGGAGGCAGCAGUGGGGAAUUUUGGACAAUGGACGCAAGUCUGAUCCAGCCAUUCCGCGUGCAGGAUGAAGGCCCUCGGGUUGUAAACUGCUUUUGUACGGAACGAAAAGGUCUCUCUUAAUACGGGGGACUCAUGACGGUACCGUAAGAAUAAGCACCGGCUAACUACGUGCCAGCAGCCGCAGUAACAC
rnacentral:rRNA from 1 species